AGAGCGAACGCUGGCGGCAGGCUUAAUACAUGCAAGUCGAGCGCCUGUAGCAAUACAGGAGCGGCAGACGGGUGAGUAACGCGUGGGAACGUACCCUUUGGUUCGGAACAACACAGGGAAACUUGUGCUAAUACCGGAUAAGCCCUUACGGGGAAAGAUUUAUCGCCGAAGGAUCGGCCCGCGUCUGAUUAGCUAGUUGGUGAGGUAACGGCUCACCAAGGCGACGAUCAGUAGCUGGUCUGAGAGGAUGAUCAGCCACACUGGGACUGAGACACGGCCCAGACUCCUACGGGAGGCAGCAGUAGGGAAUAUUGGACAAUGGGGGCAACCCUGAUCCAGCCAUGCCGCGUGAGUGAUGAAGGCCUUAGGGUUGUAAAGCUCUUUUGUGCGGGAAGAUAAUGACGGUACCGCAAGAAUAAGCCCGGCUAACUUCGUGCCAGCAGCCGC
rnacentral:rRNA from 1 species